GACGAACGCUGGCGGCGUGCCUAAUACAUGCAAGUCGAACGAGAGCGACCGGUGCUUGCACUGGUCAAUCUAGUGGCGAACGGGUGAGUAACACGUGGGUAACCUGCCCAUCAGAGGGGGAUAACAUCCGGAAACGGAUGCUAAAACCGCAUAGGUCUUCGAACCGCAUGGUUUGAAGAGGAAAAGGGGCGCAAGCUUCUGCUGAUGGAUGGACCCGCGGUGCAUUAGCUAGUUGGUGAGGUAACGGCUCACCAAGGCCGUGAUGCAUAGCCGACCUGAGAGGGUGAUCGGCCACAUUGGGACUGAGACACGGCCCAAACUCCUACGGGAGGCAGCAGUAGGGAAUCUUCCGCAAUGGACGCAAGUCUGACGGAGCAACGCCGCGUGAGUGAAGAAGGUUUUCGGAUCGUAAAACUCUGUUGUUAGAGAAGAACAAGUGCUAGAGUAACUGUUAGCGCCUUGACGGUAUCUAACCAGAAAGCCACGGCUAACUACGUG
rnacentral:rRNA from 1 species